CCUACGGGUGGCUGCAGUGAGGAAUAUUGGUCAAUGGACGAGAGUCUGAACCAGCCAAGUAGCGUGAAGGAUGACUGCCCUAUGGGUUGUAAACUUCUUUUAUCUGGGAAUAAAAUGUUCCACGUGUGGGAUUUUGUAUGUACCAUAUGAAUAAGGAUCGGCUAACUCCUUGCCAGCAGCCGCGGUAAUACGGAGGAUCCGAGCGUUAUCCGGAUUUAUUGGGUGUAAAGGGAGCGUAGGUGGAUUGUUAAGUCAGUUGUGAAAGUUUGCGGCUCAACCGUAAAAUUGCAGUUGAAACUGUCAGUCUUGAGUACAGUAGAGGUGGGCGGAAGUCGUGGUGUAGCGGUGAAAUGCUUAGAUAUCACGAAGAACUCCGAUUGCGAAGGCAGUUCACUGGACUGCAACUGACACUGAGGCUCGAAAGUGUGGGUAUCAAACAGGAUUAGAUACCCGAGUAGUC
rnacentral:rRNA from 1 species